CCUACGGGUGGCUGCAGUGAGGAAUAUUGGUCAAUGGGCGCGAGCCUGAACCAGCCAAGUAGCGUGAAGGAUGACUGCCCUACGGGUUGUAAACUUCUUUUAUAAGGGAAUAAAGUGAGGCACGUGUGCCUUUUUGUAUGUACUUUAUGAAUAAGGAUCGGCUAACUCCGUGCCAGCAGCCGCGGUAAUACGGAGGGUCCGAGCGUUAUCCGGAUUUAUUGGGUUUAAAGGGAGCGUAGAUGGGUUGUUAAGUCAGUUGUGAAAGUUUGCGGCUCAACCGUAGAAUUGCAGUGGAUACUGGCAGGCUUGAGUACAGUUGAGGUAGGCGGAAUUCGUGGUGUAGCGGUGAAAUGCUUAGAUAUCACGAAGAACGCCGAUUGCGAAGGCAGCUUACUAAACUGCCACUGACAUUGAUGCUCGAAAGUGUGGGUAUCAAACAGGAUUAGAUACCCUUGUAGUC
rnacentral:rRNA from 1 species